CCGGGGAAAGGGAACACCGAGGCCUUGCUGGUGUCACCAACCCCUCCUGGACACCGGGCAAAAACACUUCCAGAAUCCCUGCGGAAGAGCAGAGAGGAAAAUUCCCCCAUUUCCCACAGGACACGCCGACAUUCCGACCACCAACGUUGUGGCUGAUGCAAGCGCGGGACCGAAUGUGUGUGGAGAAGACCCAGGCAGUGGAUGGAUGCGUGGGAGGAGACCUACCAGGCUGAUGGCCCAAUCCCAGAGCAUCCUUCCCAGGCAGAAGUGAUGAGCUCUGGAAGUCCGGCGGCGCUGCCCGGCACCCUUGGGAUGAUAAGCUGGUCAAGGCCAGUGCUGGCUCUGUUCUGCUGACGAGCUGUGGUGGCGUUUGUGCCGAGGGACCCGGCGCCGCUCUGGGAACGGAUGGGAGCGAAGCCCACGGCACAGCAGCAGGAAUAACGCAAGAAUUCCAGACUUUACAGCUCCCACAGUGACGCAACCCGAGCUCAAACAUUGGUUUUACUCCCAAAGGCUUGGGAGACUUUAGACUGAACUCCCUGUGUGACCAAAUUCCUGCUCCUUUUGCUCCCUUCCUCCUCCUGGUGGAGGUGUCUCCUGGAUGGACAACGCGAGCACCUCCCACCGCGCCCAGUGAACUGAUGGAUGCUCCAGUCAAGAACCCACCCAUGGACUCAUUCCAAAUUCACAGGAUAAUUUAGGUUGGAAAAGCCCUUUAAGAUCACUGAUUCCAGCAGCAGUGACCAUCAAACGCCUCCUGCCUUGCUCUCCUCCACUGACCCAGCCGGUGACGCCCCAUUGUCCAGCUCCAAAGAGCCUUUUCUCCCUGUUCCUAAGGAAACAGGCAGCGUUGUUCAAACAAGGCCACACACCAGGCAAACCCCUCCCCCUAAAUACAACCUAAAGCACUUUAUACAGAUGACCUAAAGCACUUCAUCCAGGCACAACAGGAGAAGGCAGCUGCUGGAUUUAUCCCCAGAGAGAGGGAAGCAACAGCUUUGCCCGGAGCUCCUUUGGAGCACGGGAUGAGCAACCCACCCCCACGACUCCACACUACAGCCACGAUGCUCUGCUGGGUCAAAGGUUUCUGGAGUCAGCUAGAAAACAUCUGGUUUUGCUUCAUGGCACUGAUUUCCCUCUUGAAAAUGAUGGGAUGGUCCCCAGGGCAACCCUCCCAUGGGGCAGGAGAGGGGGCAGAGGGAGCAACUUCAGAGGACACAGAGCACUGGGAAAAGG